rnacentral:ncRNA from 1 species
AUAUGAAAAGGGCAAACUUAUUGAAAGGUAAGGACGCAAAGCCAAGGGCCUAAGUUCUGAAAGUAACAUGGCAGCCGGUUGCAUAA